AAGAACAAAAGAAACAUCCAUAAUAGCGGAAGCACAGUGUUCGCGAAAGUUCUUUGAGAGGACAUAAUUCAAUAAAGCCAGGGGAUCAUCAUCAUUCAAACCCUAGAAGAAUUUACAGGACGAUGUCGCACUUCGGACGAGCCGGACCACCAGAUAUCUCCGAUACCUUUUCUCUCCUCAUCCUCAACAUCACUUUUCGCACAUCGGCCGAUGAUUUGUUCCCGUUGUUUGAUAAGUAUGGCAAGGUUGUUGAUAUCUUUAUCCCCAGAGAUCGAAGGACUGGUGAAUCACGUGGGUUUGCAUUUGUACGGUACAAAUAUUCAGAUGAAGCACAGGAUGCUGUUGAUAAUCUAGAUAGGAGAGUGGUUGAUGGUAGAGAAAUCACUGUGCAGUUUGCAAAGUAUGGGCCAAAUGCUGAACGCAUUCAUCAGGGCAGGAUCAUUGAGAAGUCUCCUAGACCUGGUUUGAGAUCUAGAAGCCCUCCAAGAAGGUCCAGGGAUGAUUACUACAGGGAUAGGGACAGGGAUUACAGGAGGAGAAGCCGAAGUAGGAGCUUUGAUAGGUAUCGUGGCAGGGAAAAGCAUCAUCGUUAUCGAAGCAGGAGCCGCAGUAUAAGCCCAGACUAUGAAAGAGAAUGCAGGAGGAGCCGUUAUGAUUAUGAUGAACGCAGGAGGAGGAGUUCGCGGGAAAGCCUCAGUCCUCGAAGAAGUUUAACACCUCGGAGGUCCCCAUCUCCUAGAGGUAGGAGUCCAUAUAGACGCAGCCACCAUAGGCGAUCUCCUACUCCUCAGAGUCUUACACCAAGAGAUCGCAAAUCUUACUCAAGGAGUCCUAUUUCCAACAAUCAGUGACCUGCAACAGUUAUUCAGCAUCUGGAGGAAGUGAGAAAUCAUCUUGUGUUGGCCUUCUGCGAUGGAUUAGACUUUGAUCCUGAUCUACUAGAGUUACAAGUGCUAGUUUGCUAUGUUCGAAGAAAGAAUGAAUGAGGCUGGGGGUUGCGGUGAUAUGAAUGUUGUGCAAUUAAUGAUUGAUAGAUGAAUGAUCCUGGUUUGAGUAGCAGAAUGAUCGUAGGGUUAUCAUGGUUUGAGUAGCAGAAUGAUCGUAGGGUUAUCAUUAGUAGAUGAAUGAUCAUGCAUUGAAUAGCGGAAUGCGGUUCCAGAGACAACUAUGAAAUGAGUUUGUCUUUAAAUGAGCCUGUGAUGGGUAAGCGUUUAAAGUUCAGUAUUUAUUCUGAACCCAUGAUUAUCUUUUUAAAAUCAGUUAUUAACCUGGUUAUCACUUAUGAUUUUGAUGCUAAAACUGAUAAUAAAGUAUGUACAGUUAGAAAGUGAAAAAUAAUUGUUGCUGCCUUAAAGGUGGAAAGAGUAUGUUGUUUCAGCUGGUAGAUGCUGUUGCGUUUUUGGUGGAUAUAUGAUCCGUUUCACUGAUGCGGAUAAUAACUAUAUGGAGCACACGUUUUUUUUGGAUGAAUGCACAUGUUAUGGGGCGGUGACAGGUUAACAAAAUAUUGUUUAUUUUUUUGCAUAUGAUCAAAAACUUUAUCGUUUAAAACACCUGUGAUUUUUAUAUUAAUAUUUCAUCAGCAAACUCUGAUUUUGAUUAUUUCUCUGAGUUGUUUUGGUACGUGGGUGCGUCGGCCGUAUCUGUGGAGUUUGAUUUGAUGUUUCUGCCGUUUGUGUGAUGUUUUUCUGGAAGCUGGUUCUUCUUUAUCUUCUGGUGGGGUUUCUGUGAAAUUUCACGUUGCAGGUGAAUGCCAUUGCAGGUGAAUGCCACCUUGCUGCCUUGCUGAAGUAGGAAGUUCAAGGUUGGGCUUCCUGUAAUAUUUGUGUUCUCUGCUGUAGGGUGGGGAUUCUGUGUCUUUCAAUAUUUUGUAGGAAGUGUUAAGGGGGGAUUCAGAGUGUUUUCUGAAUGGUCCUCCAGAAAACCAUUGUUCUAUGGUUAAAAAGAGGGUGACUGUCUCAAUUUAAGCACCUAGGAUUUGUGAUUUAAUUUUACUUUCAAGAUGAUAUUUAAGGUGAUGACCUAGUUAAUCCAUACUUGCGUCUUAUGGGCUUACUAGGUGAUCAGCCUUCUCUUGUUACAUUAAUUACAAUUUUGUUUAAGGAAAGAUGUGGGAAACCCUUGAUCUUUGUAAAAUGGUGAUAUUUGAUUCA